rnacentral:tRNA from 1 species
GGGCUGGUAAUCUAAUUAGGCAGGAGUGCGGUCUCCAAAACCGUAAGUCUAGGUUCAAAUCCUAGCCAGCUCGCCA